GUUGGGUAGGGGAGCGUUCUGUAAGCCUGCGAAGGUGACCUGUGAGGGUUGCUGGAGGUAUCAGAAGUGCGAAUGCUGACAUAAGUAACGAUAAAGCGGGUGAAAAGCCCGCUCGCCGGAAGACCAAGGGUUCCUGUCCAACGUUAAUCGGGGCAGGGUGAGUCGACCCCUAAGGCGAGGCCGAAAGGCGUAGUCGAUGGGAAACGGGUUAAUAUUCCCGUACUUGGUGUUACUGCGAAGGGGGGACGGAGAAGGCUAUGUUGGCCGGGCGACGGUUGUCCCGGUUUAAGCGUGUAGGUGUGUGUUCCAGGUAAAUCCGGUUCACUUUAACACUGAGGCGUGACGACGAGGCACUACGGUGCUGAAGCAACAAAUGCCCUGCUUCCAGGAAAAGCCUCUAAGCAUCAGGUAACAUCAAAUCGUACCCCAAACCGACACAGGUGGUCAGGUAGAGAAUACCAAGGCGCUUGAGAGAACUCGGGUGAAGGAACUAGGCAAAAUGGUGCCGUAACUUCGGGAGAAGGCACGCUGACACGUAGGUGAAGUGAUUUACUCAUGGAGCUGAAGUCAGUCGAAGAUACCAGCUGGCUGCAACUGUUUAUUAAAAACACAGCACUGUGCAAACACGAAAGUGGACGUAUACGGUGUGACGCCUGCCCGGUGCCGGAAGGUUAAUUGAUGGGGUCAGCGCAAGCGAAGCUCCUGAUCGAAGCCCCGGUAAACGGCGGCCGUAACUAUAACGGUCCUAAGGUAGCGAAAUUCCUUGUCGGGUAAGUUCCGACCUGCACGAAUGGCGUAAUGAUGGCCAGGCUGUCUCCACCCGAGACUCAGUGAAAUUGAACUCGCUGUGAAGAUGCAGUGUACCCGCGGCAAGACGGAAAGACCCCGUGAACCUUUACUAUAGCUUGACACUGAACAUUGAGCCUUGAUGUGUAGGAUAGGUGGGAGGCUUUGAAGUGUGGACGCCAGUCUGCAUGGAGCCGACCUUGAAAUACCACCCUUUAAUGUUUGAUGUUCUAACGUGGACCCGUAAUCCGGGUUGCGGACAGUGUCUGGUGGGUAGUUUGACUGGGGCGGUCUCCUCCUAAAGAGUAACGGAGGAGCACGAAGGUUGGCUAAUCCUGGUCGGACAUCAGGAGGUUAGUGCAAUGGCAUAAGCCAGCUUGACUGCGAGCGUGACGGCGCGAGCAGGUGCGAAAGCAGGUCAUAGUGAUCCGGUGGUUCUGAAUGGAAGGGCCAUCGCUCAACGGAUAAAAGGUACUCCGGGGAUAACAGGCUGAUACCGCCCAAGAGUUCAUAUCGACGGCGGUGUUUGGCACCUCGAUGUCGGCUCAUCACAUCCUGGGGCUGAAGUAGGUCCCAAGGGUAUGGCUGUUCGCCAUUUAAAGUGGUACGCGAGCUGGGUUUAGAACGUCGUGAGACAGUUCGGUCCCUAUCUGCCGUGGGCGCUGGAGAACUGAGGGGGGCUGCUCCUAGUACGAGAGGACCGGAGUGGACGCAUCACUGGUGUUCGGGUUGUCAUGCCAAUGGCACUGCCCGGUAGCUAAAUGCGGAAGAGAUAAGUGCUGAAAGCAUCUAAGCACGAAACUUGCCCCGAGAUGAGUUCUCCCUGAGACUUAGAGUCUCCUGAAGGAACGUUGAAGACGACGACGUUGAUAGGCCGGGUGUGUAAGCGCAGCGAUGCGUUGAGCUAACCGGUACUAAUGAACCGUGAGGCUUAACCUUACAACGCCGAAG
rnacentral:rRNA from 1 species